rnacentral:tRNA from 1 species
CAAGGUGUAGCUUAACAUAAAGCACCCGGCUUACACCUGGGAGAUUUCAAUUAAACUUGACACCCUGA